rnacentral:misc_RNA from 1 species
AAUUUAUUAGUUGUGUAAAUAUUUCCGUUACUAGAUUCUUGAUUUGGCAUUAUUAAUUGAAAGAGAUAUAUGAGACUUUCUUUCCUUUUCUUUGUCUGCUAAAUGAAUAAAGAAUGAGUGAUUAAUUAACGGGGAAUGUUGCCUCUUGCGUUCAUGCAGCUUACAGAAAUGGGCUCUUGCAUUCUACUCUUCAAUUCAACUCUCUUUUACUUUUGACUCCAUAUUGUUCUUCCUUAUUAUGGAGGUUAUGCUUUUUCACUGAUUAAACUUAUUUUCUUAAGUCAAAUCAAAUCUGUUA